rnacentral:rRNA from 2 species
UCAGAUUGAACGCUGGCGGCUGGUCUUAACACAUGCAAGUCGAACGAUGACUAACUAGCUUGCUAGAUAUGAUUAGUGGCGGACGGGUGAGUAACAUUUAGGAAUCUGCCUAGUAGUGGGGGAUAGCUCGGGGAAACUCGAAUUAAUACCGCAUACGACCUACGGGUGAAAGGGGGCGCAAGCUCUUGCUAUUAGAUGAGCCUAAAUCAGAUUAGCUAGUUGGUGGGGUAAAGGCCUACCAAGGCGACGAUCUGUAACUGGUCUGAGAGGAUGAUCAGUCACACCGGAACUGAGACACGGUCCGGACUCCUACGGGAGGCAGCAGUGGGGAAUAUUGGACAAUGGGGGCAACCCUGAUCCAGCCAUGCCGCGUGUGUGAAGAAGGCCUUUUGGUUGUAAAGCACUUUAAGCAGGGAGGAGAGGCUAAUGGUUAAUACCCAUUAGAUUAGACGUUACCUGCAGAAUAAGCACCGGCUAACUCUGUGCCAGCAGCCGCGGUAAUACAGAGGGUGCGAGCGUUAAUCGGAAUUACUGGGCGUAAAGCGAGUGUAGGUGGCUCAUUAAGUCACAUGUGAAAUCCCCGGGCUUAACCUGGGAACUGCAUGUGAUACUGGUGGUGCUAGAAUAUGUGAGAGGGAAGUAGAAUUCCAGGUGUAGCGGUGAAAUGCGUAGAGAUCUGGAGGAAUACCGAUGGCGAAGGCAGCUUCCUGGCAUAAUAUUGACACUGAGAUUCGAAAGCGUGGGUAGCAAACAGGAUUAGAUACCCUGGUAGUCCACGCCGUAAACGAUGUCUACUAGCCGUUGGGGUCCUUGAGACUUUAGUGGCGCAGUUAACGCGAUAAGUAGACCGCCUGGGAGACGCCGACCUGU